rnacentral:sRNA from 1 species
AUGAGAGCUCCAGGCUGCAAGCUCAGCACGUGCAUGAUGUGCACUAGAAUGUGGGCUCAUUGGUGGUUGAUGCAUGUAUUAGAUUGCAAGUUCAGAAGUUGUGACAUGGGUAUUAUAUAGCACCCAUGUUAUAAAACCUCACACUGGUCAUCUAUUUUUUACAUAUAGCACUGUACACAUUUAAAUGCUAUGUUCUCAGGUCUCACGAAUUCC